AUUGAACGCUGGCGGCAGGCCUAACACAUGCAAGUCGAGCGGAGCGGCGGACGGGUGAGUAAUGCCUAGGAAUCUGCCUGCUCGUGGGGGAUAAAGUCCGGUAACGGACGCUAAUACCCCAUACUCUCAGUUGAGCCUAGGUCGGUUUAGCUAGUUGGUGGGGUAAAGACGCACCUAGGCGACGAUCCCUAGCUGGGCUGAGUGGAUGACCAGCCACACUGGAACGGAGACACGGUCCAGACUCCUACGGGAGGCAGCAGUGGGGAAUAUUGCACAAUGGGCGCAAGCCUGAUACAGCCAUGCCGCGUGUAUGAAGAAGGACUUCGGGUUGUAAAGUACUUUCGGCGGGGAGGCGUUACCCGCAGAAGAAGCACCGGCUAACUCCGUGCCAGCAGCCGCGGUAAUUC
rnacentral:rRNA from 1 species